rnacentral:tRNA from 1 species
GCUCAGUCGGUUAAGCAUCAGCUCUUGACUUCAGCUCAGGUCAUGAUCUCACCGUUUGUGGGUUCAAACCCCACACUGGGCU